rnacentral:rRNA from 1 species
CCUACGGGUCGCAGCAGUGAGGAAUAUUGGUCAAUGGACGAGAGUCUGAACCAGCCAAGUAGCGUGAAGGAUGACUGCCCUAUGGGUUGUAAACUUCUUUUAUAUGGGAAUAAAAUGUUCCACGUGUGGGAUUUUGUAUGUACCAUAUGAAUAAGGAUCGGCUAACUCCGUGCCAGCAGCCGCGGUAAUACGGAGGAUCCGAGCGUUAUCCGGAUUUAUUGGGUUUAAAGGGAGCGUCGGUGGAUUGUUAAGUCAGUUGUGAAAGUUUGCGGCUCAACCGUAAAAUUGCAGUUGAAACUGGCAGUCUGGAGUACAGUAGAGGUGGGCGGAAUUCGUGGUGUAGCGGUGAAAUGCUUAGAUAUCACGAAGAACUCCGAUUGCGAAGGCAGCUCACUGGACUGCAACUGACACUGAGGCUCGAAAGUGUGGGUAUCAAACAGGAUUAGAUACCCGAGUAGUC